GACGAACGCUGGCGGCGUGCUUAACACAUGCAAGUCGAACGGACAAGCGAGUGCUUGCACUCGUUGAUCAGUGGCGAACGGGUGAGUAACACGUGAGUAUCCUGCCCAUCACUCUGGGAUAAGCCCUGGAAACGGCGUCUAAUACUGGAUACGACCAACCCUUGCACGGGGUGCUGGUGGAAAGAUUUAUUGUUGAUGGAUGUACUCGCGGCCUAUCGGCUUGUUGGCGGGGUAAUGGCGAACCAAGGCGACGACGGGUCGGUGGCCUGAGAGGGUGAGCGGCGACACUGGGACUGAGGGACGGCCCAAGCAGCUACGGGAGGGAGCAGUGGGGAAUAUUGCACAAUGGGCGCAGGGCUGGUGCAGCAAGGCCGCGUGAGGGAAAACGGUCUUAGGGUUGUAAACCUCAUUCAGCAGGGAAGAAGCGAAAGUGACGGUACCUGAAGAAGAAGCACCGGCUAACUACGUG
rnacentral:rRNA from 1 species